UUAAGCGACUAAGCGUACACGGUGGAUGCCCUGGCAGUCAGAGGCGAUGAAGGACGUGCUAAUCUGCGAUAAGCGUCGGUAAGGUGAUAUGAACCGUUAUAACCGGCGAUUUCCGAAUGGGGAAACCCAGUGUGAUUCGUCACACUAUCAUUAACUGAAUCCAUAGGUUAAUGAGGCGAACCGGGGGAACUGAAACAUCUAAGUACCCCGAGGAAAAGAAAUCAACCGAGAUUCCCCCAGUAGCGGCGAGCGAACGGGGAGCAGCCCAGAGCCUGAAUCAGUGUGUGUGUUAGUGGAAGCGUCUGGAAAGGCGCGCGAUACAGGGUGACAGCCCCGUACACAAAAAUGCACAUACUGUGAGCUCGAUGAGUAGGGCGGGACACGUGGUAUCCUGUCUGAAUAUGGGGGGACCAUCCUCCAAGGCUAAAUACUCCUGACUGACCGAUAGUGAACCAGUACCGUGAGGGAAAGGCGAAAAGAACCCCGGCGAGGGGAGUGAAAAAGAACCUGAAACCGUGUACGUACAAGCAGUGGGAGCACAGAGCAAUCUGUGUGACUGCGUACCUUUUGUAUAAUGGGUCAGCGACUUAUAUUCUGUAGCAAGGUUAACCGAAUAGGGGAGCCGAAGGGAAACCGAGUCUUAACUGGGCGUUAAGUUGCAGGGUAUAGACCCGAAACCCGGUGAUCUAGCCAUGGGCAGGUUGAAGGUUGGGUAACACUAACUGGAGGACCGAACCGACUAAUGUUGAAAAAUUAGCGGAUGACUUGUGGCUGGGGGUGAAAGGCCAAUCAAACCGGGAGAUAGCUGGUUCUCCCCGAAAGCUAUUUAGGUAGCGCCUCGUGAAUUCAUCUCCGGGGGUAGAGCACUGUUUCGGCAAGGGGGUCAUCCCGACUUACCAACCCGAUGCAAACUGCGAAUACCGGAGAAUGUUAUCACGGGAGACACACGGCGGGUGCUAACGUCCGUCGUGAAGAGGGAAACAACCCAGACCGCCAGCUAAGGUCCCAAAGUCAUGGUUAAGUGGGAAACGAUGUGGGAAGGCCCAGACAGCCAGGAUGUUGGCUUAGAAGCAGCCAUCAUUUAAAGAAAGCGUAAUAGCUCACUGGUCGAGUCGGCCUGCGCGGAAGAUGUAACGGGGCUAAACCAUGCACCGAAGCUGCGGCAGCGACGCUGAUGCGUUGUUGGGUAGGGGAGCGUUCUGUAAGCCUGUGAAGGUGUGCUGUGAGGCAUGCUGGAGGUAUCAGAAGUGCGAAUGCUGACAUAAGUAACGAUAAAGCGGGUGAAAAGCCCGCUCGCCGGAAGACCAAGGGUUCCUGUCCAACGUUAAUCGGGGCAGGGUGAGUCGACCCCUAAGGCGAGGCCGAAAGGCGUAGUCGAUGGGAAACAGGUUAAUAUUCCUGUACUUGGUGUUACUGCGAAGGGGGGACGGAGAAGGCUAUGUUGGCCGGGCGACGGUUGUCCCGGUUUAAGCGUGUAGGCUGGUUUUCCAGGCAAAUCCGGAAAAUCAAGGCUGAGGCGUGAUGACGAGGCACUACGGUGCUGAAGCAACAAAUGCCCUGCUUCCAGGAAAAGCCUCUAAGCAUCAGGUAACAUCAAAUCGUACCCCAAACCGACACAGGUGGUCAGGUAGAGAAUACCAAGGCGCUUGAGAGAACUCGGGUGAAGGAACUAGGCAAAAUGGUGCCGUAACUUCGGGAGAAGGCACGCUGAUAUGUAGGUGAAGUCCCUCGCGGAUGGAGCUGAAAUCAGUCGAAGAUACCAGCUGGCUGCAACUGUUUAUUAAAAACACAGCACUGUGCAAACACGAAAGUGGACGUAUACGGUGUGACGCCUGCCCGGUGCCGGAAGGUUAAUUGAUGGGGUCAGCGCAAGCGAAGCUCUUGAUCGAAGCCCCGGUAAACGGCGGCCGUAACUAUAACGGUCCUAAGGUAGCGAAAUUCCUUGUCGGGUAAGUUCCGACCUGCACGAAUGGCGUAAUGAUGGCCAGGCUGUCUCCACCCGAGACUCAGUGAAAUUGAACUCGCUGUGAAGAUGCAGUGUACCCGCGGCAAGACGGAAAGACCCCGUGAACCUUUACUAUAGCUUGACACUGAACAUUGAGCCUUGAUGUGUAG
rnacentral:rRNA from 1 species